GUGACUAAGAGUACUCGGAUAAGGAAUUCCAAGACCCAUGACUGAAGAGAGAUGCAGUGCGGCAAAACUGUUCUUUCAUCAGAGCAGAAACCAUUUGGUCCCAGGUCCCAGCGGUUAGCAGGGUUGUGCUUUGGCUAGAAAAGGUGGAGGUUCAUGGAGAAGAGACGCUGGAAACGAUGUGGGAUUCGUGGAGACUGCGAUUAACAGAAACAGCAGGGUUGAGGGCCUCUGCCGGGCACUUCCGGCGUGAGCACAGCGCGAGCCGGGGCAGCCAGCGCAGCGGGCGGGUCCCGGAAACGGAACAGGAAGCGGAAGUCCACAGCCCCUUCCGCCAUGAAGCCCGGACGUGGCAACCCCCGAGUCCUGGCACACAGCAGUCCUUGCGGUGCCUCCUUCCAGACUCCAGCUUUCCCUGCAGCAUGGCUUUUCAUGGCAAGUUCCAGGCGGAGAGUGAGAAGAAUUACGACGAGUUCAUGAAGCGCCUGGGUCUCCCCAGUGACAUUCUUGAGAAGGGUCGUAACUCCAAGGUCAUCACGGAGGUGCAGCAGGAUGGGCAGGACUUCACCUGGGCGCAGUCCUACUCUGGGGGCCACCUCGUCACCAACAAGUUCACCAUCGGAAAGGAGAGCGACAUGGUUUCCCUGGGGGGCAAGAACUUCAAGGCCACUGUGAAGAUGGAGGGCGGGAAGAUAGUGUUCGACUUUCCCAACUAUCGCCAGACCUCAGAGAUUGUGGGUGACAAGCUGGUGGAGCGAAGCUCUGGGUCUCAGAGACAGCGUAUGACUUGCCCCGGGCUGCACAGCUAGAGCACAGUAGAGAUGGACACCAUCCCGACUUCCAGGCCAGACUCUCCGCCUGUCCUCCCCAGCCUAGUCUCCACCAUCGGAGAUGUGAGCUACGAGCGUGUGAGCAAGCGGCUGGCCUGAGCCACCAGGCCGAGCACCA